ensembl:lncRNA
UUCCAAUAUGACUGUGGCCACCCCAGUGCCAGAUGCCUGCCUCUGGAAGGGGGCAGACAGGCUGCCCGCCUCGCAACCUGCCUGAGGCCACCUCCUCCUGACCCCCAGCACUGCUGGGACACACGGGCAGCUCCCUGCAGCCGCAGAGAAAGAAGCGAGAAGUCCCAGGAGAACUCGGCGCACCUCUCAGCAGCCCUCUGGACUUCAGCCUAAGCUCCGGACAGAGGGCCACCUGCACUCCUGGGUUUCCAGCCGUGGCUCUCUGCAGACACAAGGAUCUAGGUUUAGGGUAGAGUAAGACGGUUGGUUUGAAAAUUAGCUGAGAAACAUGGGCAAGAUCCUUUCCUUUUUCUCUUCAUCUUUUCCUUUUUCUUUUCGUCUUAUGGAAAAACCAUUCCGUUUCCUAUCUGUUCGGCUCCGUGAAGCACAAGCAGGGCUAGGCGCCCGGAGUGAGCGGCCGCGAGACUAAGCCCCGGGCCAGGGUGCACCACGCACAUAACCUCAGAGCCAGGAGCCAGGGAGGCUUCCCCAGCCACACAGCCUCGCGGCUUCAGCACGCAGGCCCUAGCUCUGAGGUCACCCCUCACACCCUGAGCAGUGCUAGCAGUGCCACCGGUGCCAAGUGACGCAUGCGCUCCACGCCUCAGUUUCCCCAUCUGUAAAACUGAGAUGAUACCACAUCCCUCACAGAACAAUGGUGAAGACUACGAGGGAUGAUGUCUAUGAAAGUACUGCCUGAAUAUGAAGAAUUAUUUAGUCAAAAUCACUCCACAGAUAAAGCCUCCGGGCACCCAAGAAGAACCUCAUUUCAAUGAAGUAAAAUAAAACAUGAAAGCCGGGUUUUUAAAACUCUUUUUCCCAGAAGCACAUUUUCCAUGUUAAGCAACCAACUCUUAAAAAUAAUUGCUAUAUCCCAAACACAGAUAUUAAUGGAUCUCUCCAGAUAAUUCAGAACACAGAAUUCCAGAGAUCCUUGAAAAUGGUGCUGCAUUUCCCAAGGAUCCUCUGUUACUAAAAGGCCCUGAAAUUCUUCCAUUGUCCGGGGAUCGCACUGUAUGGGGAAGGUGGGUCACCUGCAUAUGUACACACUAAACACAUUACACACACAAAUGUACCCACACACAGCCUAUUUGUGCCAUUCCUGAAGUCUCUAAUUCUCACUAAGGCACGACAAAAGAAACAGCACCAGCUUAUUUCUACAUACUCACAGGCCGUUUAAUAAUGAUGCUUUGUAUAAAACAUAAUGCUUCUUUCAUUUAGAAAAGUCAAAGCCAUUUAUCUGAUCCCCACAAAACCCCACCAGACAGCAGGCAGACAAGAAGGUAGAAGGCGGCCGGGCGCGGUGGCUCAAGCCUGUAAUCCCAGCACUUUGGGAGGCCGAGACGGGCGGAUCACGAGGUCAGGAGAUCGAGACCAUCCUGGCUAACACUGUGAAACCCCGUCUCUACUAAAAAAUACAAAAAACUAGCCAGGCGAGGUGGUGGGCGCCUGUAGUCCCAGCUACUCGGGAGGCUGAGGCAGGAGAAUGGCGUAAACCCGGGAGGCGGAGCUUGCAGUGAGCUGAGAUCCGGCCACUGCACUCCAGCCUGGGCGACAAAGCGAGACUCCGUCUCAAAAAAAAAAA